CGAAAUGCGAUAAGUAGUGUGAAUUGCAGAAUUCCGUGAAUCAUCAAAUCUUUGAACGCACAUUGCGCCCUUUGGUAUUCCAAAGGGCAUGCCUGUUCGAGCGUCAUUUGAACUUCAAGCUUUGCUUGGUGUUGGGCGUUUGUCUCCCUGGAGACUCGCCUCAAAACGAUUGGCAGCCGGCACUCUGGUAUUGAAGCGCAGCACAAAUCGCGCUACUGUCCACGCGGUGUCGGCGUCCAUGAAGCCCUCUUUUUUUCAACUUUUGACCUCGGAUCAGGUAGGGAUACCCGCUGAACUUAAGC
rnacentral:misc_RNA from 1 species